ensembl:ncRNA C04C11.20 ncRNA
GCAACGGAGAAGAUGAUUGUGGAAUCUGGCGGCCUGGCUAUCCAACAUCCAGUUGGUGCAUUCAUUAUAGGUGGCGGACAGGGGUAUCUCUGUUGCUCUGUGAGCUCCCCCACCCCCCACUCAACUGUGUUCCAAAAUCGCGUCCCGGCGACCGGACAGACAGAUCCCU